UAGGUAAAAGGUUAUUAGUUAAAGAAACAGUUGCAGUUUAAAGAAAUACAAUGUAGCAAUGUGUAUUAUACCCACAAUUGCCCACUAUGCCUGAUCUCGCCUGAUAAAAUGUGUCUUCUUACUAUUUUAAAAAUGUUGCUGCCUUGCUUUGGAGUUUUCUCUGCUAUAUGUUGAAACAUUUGUCUCAUGUCUAUUUGAUUUAACUCCUGUCUUACUGUUCUGUAAAAUGUGAAUCGAAU